GUGGGGAAUAUUGGACAAUGGGGGGAACCCUGAUCCAGCCAUGCCGCGUGUGUGAAGAAGGCCUUUUGGUUGUAAAGCACUUUAAGCGAGGAGGAGGCUACCGAGAUCAAUACUCUUGGAUAGUGGACGUUACUCGCAGAAUAAGCACCGGCUAACUCUGUGCCAGCAGCCGCGGUAAUACAGAGGGUGCGAGCGUUAAUCGGAUUUACUGGGCGUAAAGCGUGCGUAGGCGGCUUUUUAAGUCGGAUGUGAAAUCCCCGAGCUUAACUUGGGAAUUGCAUUCGAUACUGGGAAGCUAGAGUAUGGGAGAGGAUGGUAGAAUUCCAGGUGUAGCGGUGAAAUGCGUAGAGAUCUGGAGGAAUACCGAUGGCGAAGGCAGCCAUCUGGCCUAAUACUGACGCUGAGGUACGAAAGCAUGGGGAGCAAACAGGAUUAGAUACCCGUGUAGUCC
rnacentral:rRNA from 1 species